rnacentral:rRNA from 1 species
GAUGAACGCUGGCGGCGUGCCUAAUACAUUCAAGUCGAGCGAACAGACGAGGAGCUUGCUCCUCUGACGUUAGCGGCGGACGGGUGAGUAACACGUGGAUAACCUACCUAUAAGACUGGGAUAACUUCGGGAAACCGGAGCUAAUACCGGAUAAUAUAUUUAACCGCAUGGUUCAAUAGUGAAAGACGUGUUUGCUGUCACUUAUAGAUGGAUCCGCGCCGCAUUAGCUAGUUGGUAAGGUAACGGCUUACCAAAGUAACGCUGCGUCGCCGGCCUAAUAUGGUGACCAGCCACACUGCAACUGAGAGACGGGCCAGACUCCUACGGGAGGCAGCGUUAGGGAAUCUUCCGCGAUGAGCCAACGCUUGACCGAGCAACGCCGCGUGAGUGAUGAAGGUCUUCUGAUUGUAAACCUCUGUUAUUCGGGAAGAACAAAUGUGUAAGUAACUAUGCACGUCUAGACGGUACCUAAUCAGAAAGCCACGGCUAACUACGUG